rnacentral:rRNA from 1 species
CAGUAGCCACGGUAAUACAGAGGUCUCAAGCGUUGUUCGGAAUCACUGGGCGUAAAGGGUGCGUAGGUGGCGUGGUAAGUCAGAUGUGAAAGCCCGGGGCUCAACCUCGGAAUAGCAUCCGAUACUACCAUGCUAGAGUACUGAAGAGGUGACUAGAAUUCUCGGUGUAGCAGUGAAAUGCGUAGAUAUCGAGAGGAAUACCAACGGCGAAGGCAGGUCACUGGGCAGUUACUGACACUGAGGCACGAAGGCCAGGGGAGCAAACGGGAUUAGAUACCCGGGUAGUCCCUGUCUCUUAUAC